GGAGGGGUUCGGCAGGCGAUGGUCCCCGCCGCCCGGGCCGGCUCAGCAGCGGCCCGGGGCGCGCCGCCUGCUCCCGGGCUGCAUGCCUGCGAGCGCCUGGAGGAGCCGGCCCGUGAGCGAACGGCUAGUGCUUCCCCAGCCUAGCGGCUCGGGCGGCGCAGCCCGCGCUCGGGAGACUACUGCAGAGUCAGGCUGUUCGGGCUAACCCCCUCCCUCGCCCGGCCCCAGCCGGCGGCCGCGGAACGCGGCGUCGAGAGCACCCCGCAGUGCCCUGGACAAGUAGCUGAAAAGUUAUUUGUAAGGCUGAAUUAAACCCAGUGCAGCCAUUCUUCACGGGAGCCAUCCAGCUACAUUCUCAGACUCAAGGCAGAUUGAGUCACUUUCCUCCGCUGUGUUAAUCUGUACUGUGAUUUUAAAAGAGACUCUCCUCUUCAGUCGGUGGAUGGACAUCUCCUACUUUGCAGGAAGACACAGUCCCAUUGGCCUCAGCGGCCAAGGCUUGGGAUUCAAGAAGCAGUCUUGUUGGAUUAAGAGGCGUUGAAUAGUUGAGUUCUUGAUCCACGUGUCAAACUGUGGAGCUUCAUUUUGAGCUGGCUGCCAUGUUGUAAGGAAGCCUCCACACACACCCUCCAGGGCAACUUCCAGCCAACAGCUAGUAAUGACCAUCUGAAGCUCUCAGUCCAAUGUCCCGUGAGGAGCAGAAUCCUGCUGCAACCACGGAGUGAGCUUGGAAAUGGAUUUCUUCCCAGUCGAGCCUUCAGAUGACUGCAACCCCCUCAGCACCUUGACUGCACCUGUGAGACAUCUUGAGCCAGAGGACUCAGAUGCUUCUUGUUGAAGAGCAAGUUGGAGAUGAAAGAUACUAAGGGCUGAGAGGUGCCCUCCCAAGGUGGAAGCAGGAAUGAAAGUCUUCUCAGCCCUGGUCCGUUGGGAAUGAGUGAGAUGGC